rnacentral:rRNA from 1 species
UGGCUCAANCAAUGUAUGCUUUGGAAACUGUUAGACUUGAGUGCAGAAGGGGAGAGUGGAAUUCCAUGNGUAGCGGUGAAAUGCGUAGAUAUAUGGAGGNACACCGGUGGCGAAAGCGGCUCUNUGGUCUGUCACUGACGCUGAGGCUCGAAAGCGUGGGUAGCGAACAGGAUUAGAUACCCUGGUAGUCCACGCCGUAAACGCUGAGUGCUAGGUGUUAGGUCCUUUCCGGGACUUAGUGCCGACGCUAACGCAUUAAGCACUCCGCCUGGGGAGUACGACCGCAAGGUUGAAACUCAAAGGAAUUGACGGGGGCCCGCACAAGCGGUGGAGCAUGUGGUUUAAUUCGAAGCAACGCGAAGAACCUUACCAGGUCUUGACAUCCCGAUGCCCGCUCUAGAGAUAGAGUUUUUCUUCGGAACAUCGGAGACAGGUGGUGCAUGGUUGUCGUCAGCUCGUGUCGUGAGAUGUUGGGUUAAGUCCCGCAACGAGCGCAACCCUUAUUGUUAGUUGCCAUCAUUAAGUUGGGCACUCUAGCGAGACUGCCGGUAAUAAACCGGAGGAAGGUGGGGAUGACGUCAAAUCAUCAUGCCCCUUAUGACCUGGGCUACACACGUGCUACAAUGGUUGGUACAACGAGUCGCAAGCCGGUGACGGCAAGCUAAUCUCUGAAAGCCAAUCUCAGUUCGGAUUGUAGGCUGCAACUCGCCUACAUGAAGUCGGAAUCGCUAGUAAUCGCGGAUCAGCACGCCGCGGUGAAUACGUUCCCGGGCCUUGUACACACCGCCCGUCACACCACGAGAGUUUGUAACACCCAAAGUCGGUGAGGUAACCAUUUAUGGGNCCAGCCGCCUAAGG